CGUUAUGGUGGCUGUAUGCGGGGCGCUUCGGCGCACCGAGUUCCUAGAGUCUCGGUCUUCCACACCCGCAUACAGCCGCCACCCAU
rnacentral:antisense_RNA from 1 species